UACGGAGGGUGCUAGCGUUGUUCGGAAUUACUGGGCGUAAAGCGCGCGUAGGCGGCUUUUCAAGUCAGGGGUGAAAUCCUGGGGCUUAACCCCAGAAUUGCCUUUGAAACUGUAAAGCUUGAGUGUCGGAGGGGAUAACGGAAUUGCUAAUGUAGAGGUGAAAUUCGUAGAUAUUAGCAGGAACACCGGUGGCGAAGGCGGCUAUCUGGACGACAACUGACGCUGAGGCGCGAAAGCGCGGGGAUCAAACGGG
rnacentral:rRNA from 1 species